AACAAUCUUUACCUUUGUAUUAUGACAUGAACAACUGUUCUCCAUAUCCUCUGAAUGAAGAAGGUAAAAUUGACUUAAAUUAAAUUAAGAUAGAUUUUGGUUUGACACUGGGAAGAAUUCACU
rnacentral:lncRNA from 1 species